rnacentral:rRNA from 1 species
CCUACGGGGGGCAGCAGUGAGGAAUAUUGGUCAAUGGGCGGGAGCCUGAACCAGCCAAGCAGCGUGAAGGAGGAAGGCCCUGAGGGUUGUAAACUUCUUUUAUCAGGGAAUAAAGUGAGGCACGCGUGCCUGUUUGUAUGUACUUUAUGAAUAAGGAUCGGCUAACUCCGUGCCAGCAGCCGCGGUAAUACGGAGGAUCCGAGCGUUAUCCGGAUUUAUUGGGUUUAAAGGGAGCGGAGAUGGGUUGUUAAGUCAGUUGUGAAAGUGUGGGGCUCAACCGUAGAAUUGCCGUUGAUACUGGCAGUCUUGAGUACGGUUGAGGUAGGCGGAAUUCGUGGUGUAGCGGUGAAAUGCUUAGAUAUCACGAAGAACUCCGAUUGCGAAGGCAGCUUACUAGCCUGCCACUGACGUUGAUGCUCGAAAGUGUGGGUAUCAAACAGGAUUAGAUACCCGGGUAGUC